rnacentral:antisense_RNA from 22 species
GAUAACCAAGAAUAACCCUUGGAUCUAAUGUUGGAUUGACUAAUCUGACUUCACCACCACCAGGUGCCCAAGUAUCAUAAGCACCACCAAUGAAACACCAGUUCACAGUCCAUGCUAAUGCACCUACACCAAGAACACACAAAUGAUAACCAAGAAUAUUGGUCAUUUGAUUUUUAUCUCUCCA